UGGGGAAUUUUGGACAAUGGGCGCAAGCCUGAUCCAGCCAUGCCGCGUGCAGGAUGAAGGCCUUCGGGUUGUAAACUGCUUUUGUACGGAACGAAAAGGUGCCUUCUAAUAAAGGGCGCUCAUGACGGUACCGUAAGAAUAAGCACCGGCUAACUACGUGCCAGCAGCCGCGGUAAUACGUAGGGUGCGAGCGUUAAUCGGAAUUACUGGGCGUAAAGCGUGCGCAGGCGGUUUUGUAAGACAGAGGUGAAAUCCCCGGGCUCAACCUGGGAGCUGCCUUUGUGACUGCAAGGCUGGAGUGCGGCAGAGGGGGAUGGAAUUCCGCGUGUAGCAGUGAAAUGCGUAGAUAUGCGGAGGAACACCGAUGGCGAAGGCAAUCCCCUGGGCCUGCACUGACGCUCAUGCACGAAAGCGUGGGGAGCAAACA
rnacentral:rRNA from 1 species